AGGAAGUAACAGCUGAAGGUAAGUUCACGUUUCUCCUUUUCUUUUAGACAAAUCAAAAGAGCGAUUAAAGUAUGAUUGAUGUUUUAUUUUGCGUGAUUUUUGUGUUGUUUUCCUUUUCUUUAAGAAUCUUUCAUGUAACCAGUCAAACCAAUUCAGGAAGUCAGGGAAUAUAUAUUGUGUAUUUUAUCUUCUUUAUCAUUUUGACAGCAAGAACGCAGCAUCUGGCUGGACGUAACCAAAACAGAAAGUGAAUUUUUUUAGACAAUUUGUCUCACUCAAAGGUUACUCAAAAAUAAGGUUAGAAAAAACCAAAGAAGCUGUAAAUAUCCUGGGAACAUCUUUACACAGUCAUUGAUGUAACAACUCAGGGUUGUUGAAAGGUGUGAAGGAUUGUAAGAUAAAACUCUAAAGUUAAGAAAGAGUUUCUUUCUAUCUGACUGAAGCUGCUGCUGGAGAUCCACAAACGUCUGAGAUGAUCUACCAGGUUGUGAUCACAGGAUUAGAUGGAAGGAAAAUGACGAUUGACCUCUGUGACAAUGAGGAAGACAUGCAGAGAAUAACGGUGGGAGAGCUGAAGGACAAGAUAAUUGACAAGAUGCCUGGAUUCACAGUGAGUAGAAAAGAGGACCUAAAAUUGAUCUUUGGGAAUAAAAGAUUGGACAACGACACAGACAAGCUGGUUGACUAUGGAAUCCAACACAAGUCCAACAUAAACAUGGUUGAACUUCUUGAAGGUGGAGGAUGUCCUGAAACGGAUCAUACAGGUGAUGGGAUGGGAGACAAAGAGGGUGAAACUCGAAGAAGUAAAGAGGAGCUUAGGUUUAAUUUUUAAAACUCAAAAUACAUUUUUGGGUCCAAAGUGCUUCAUUCCACAUGUUGGAAUAUUUCAAGCAUGAACUAAAAUCACAUCCCUUCUCAUCCUCAUUUAAACUCUUUUAAGCAAACAAAAUAUUUCUCACUUCCUGCCAUGUUGUCUUUGUACUGUAUUUAUAUCAAAACUGUCUAGAAGAUCAGCAGAAAUAUUUUUUUGUUUCUUGUUAUUUUCAUUGAGUCAAACAGAGAAAACAAUUGUGGAGCAACUUUAUUGUGUUUUGUAAAAAUAAACUAAAU